CCCUGCCGGGAAGAGGCCCUGGCAGCCUCCUGCGCCUCCAGCCCAUGGCGUGAUGGGCACAGCCCUGUCCUUCAGGAGGGGACACGGCCACGGUCUCACCCCUCCUGCCUUGGAGUCUUCUCUCAGGCUGGGCAGCAGCCCUGGGCCAGAGACCCUGCCCCCCCCCCCCCCCCCCCAGACCCGCCUUCCUCUGCCCGCAGUGAGUCAAGUCCGGCGUCUGUGCAGAUACUGACCCGAGGAGCAGGGGUCACCUAUCAGCAACCUGGGCUGCCCUCACUCCCUCCUUCUGCCAGGGCCGAGCACCCAAUGUUGGGGACCCCUCUGCCGCCUCCUCUGAGUCUUGACUCACCCACGGAGCACCUCCUGAGUGGGGUCACCAGGUUGACACGGGGCAGGGGGAGCUUCAGAAGAGCUGGCGCCAGCCCUGGCAACACCCCACUCCGG